GCAUCGGUGGUCCAACGGUAUGAUGUGCGCUUGCCAUGCGCGCGACCCGGGUUCGACUCCCGGCCGAUGCA
rfam:Saitoella complicata NRRL Y-17804 DNA, contig: contig054, whole genome shotgun sequence.